rnacentral:rRNA from 1 species
GGGAUCGAAGAUGAUUAGAUACCAUCGUAGUCUUAACCGUAAACUAUGCCGACUUGCGAUUGUCCGAUGUUUAUUAUAGACUCUGUCAGCACCGUAUGAGAAAUCAAAGUCUUUGGGUUCCGGGGGGAGUAUGGUCGCAAGGCUGAAACUUAAAGGAAUUGACGGAAGGGCACACCAGGAGAGGAGCCUGCGGCUUAAUUUGACUCAACACGGGGAAACUUACCAGGUCCAGACAAAGUAAGGAUUGACAGAUUGAGAGCUCUUUCUUGAUUCUUUGGGUGGUGGUGCAUGGCCGUUCUUAGUUGGUGGAGUGAUUUGUCUGGUUAAUUCCGAUAACGAACGAGACCCCAACCUGCUAACUAGACUGGUCUAUUUCACGAUAGAUCAGCGCUUCUUAGAGGGACAUUGCGGAUUUACCGGAAGGAAGUUCGUG